AACAACUGCUAACUGUUAUGACUUCUGAAUGGGACACUAUGCAAGCCCCUGAUAUCUUGAUAUCUGGCCAGGAGAUUAGGGAGAAGGGAAAAGCUGAAGGACGGCUAAAAGACAAAGCUUGCAGGGAACGCUGUGCAAGCUUUUGACAUACAGCCAAGGAGUGCAAAGAAGAAGGACAAGAAAAAAAAAAGCCUGAGAGGAAGACUAUGAGCCUUCAUCAUGAAAGACCCCCAGAGGGAGCACCAGAGACUGAUAGGCAUGCUCCAGUAGGAGGGUUCAGAUUCCGGAACUAAUCAUAAUAACUCCGUUGUUUUUUUUAGAAAUAGUAAUGAAUACGUAUUAGUCUAGGAGCAUAAAAAAAUCAGCAUCUUGAUGUAACGGGUGUGCGACUUGGUGGAGCGGAGACUCCCGGCGCACCCAGCGCUGUUUGCUUACCUCUAUUCUUUUAAUAAAUUUUAAACUUAGUGUGAUAAAUUAGUAGGGGUUUGUUCAUUGUCCUUGAGAAUUUAAAGAAUCCACGGAGGAGAUAAGUUUUCACAACUCACAGCAUUGUAACAUGGGGACAAAUGGGGAAGGGGGGUUGGGUAAACAUCCCUGUUAAAACAAAGAUUCUGUAAGAUACCACCCAUCCACCACAAGACAUCUUGUUUUGCCCCCACCUGAACACAAGCACAACGCAUGGUCACUGGAGGAAGAAUAAUGACCCCCGACAACAGACUGCGCAGCCUCAGAACAAGUCUCGACAAGUCAACAAGUCUCGACAAGCCGGAACUUCAAUGCUAUAAAACAGCAACACUGGAAAGGGGAAGUUGUGUGCCGUGGUGGAGCAGAGACUCCCCAGGCGUCCAGCGCUGUUUUGCUUGUGUCUGCUUGCUUAAUUAAUAAAAUAAUUUCAAUAGACCAGUAAAUUGUGUGGUCUAACUUGUAACAAUUUGGUGCUGUGACUCGGAUGAAGGCAAUCUGAUUGAAAGACCUUCGGAGGGGGCGCCCCGCUGAUUUCAGCGGCCUUCGCUAGGACUACUUUCAUUCAAAUCCUUCACCGACGAACCCAAAAUUAGACGCAAGCAAAUAAAACCGGUAAACUCCAGGCAACCUUUGUGCACGAAGCCUGAACGAAGACCCACGGGAUGGGGUAUGCCCUAUGACUUGGAAUUACCACUUGAUCACCCUCAAUUCUAAUUAAGACUUGGAAAGAGACUUUUUUAACACCACGAUGGGGAAGGCCCCUAUGUUGUUUUGCUUACUACAGAAACAGUCGUCUGGACUGUGGAGAAAGGAUGGACACAUGCCAGCCGUGUUAAAGGACCCAUCUGUGAUGAGAAGUGGGAGAUCGCUCCAGGAAACAAAGACCUGAAGCUCACAUUGCGACGAACUCGAUAGGUACCGUGGGUUAAGGUAGAGGCUCUCCCCUGAAGAACACUACUGCUGCCGAGAAGAACUAAAACCUCGUAGUUGGCUGCAACCCAACUGACGAGUGAGGCAGAGGAGUGAAUAAGUGGGGAAAGAAAUGGGCCUCAGCCAUUCCUAUCGGUAUUUGGGGGUUCUCGCAGUGAUUUCAUCCUGCAUAGCGACUCAACACCACCCCCACCAACCUUUUAAAUGGACUUUAAGUCAAUUCGAAGAUCAACAGGUUAUUGCAACCCAGAUAACAUCAGGGGGGGCAAGCUUUACUUCUACACUAUGUCAGCUGAUCUCGAGGCCCCAGUGCUGGGAAUAUAUGGGAUUUUAUUUCUGCCCAAGUUCUAACCCGGGAAAGGGGUACUGUAAAUGCCUGAACGUGUAUUAUUGUGCAUACCGGGGGUGUGAAACCAUUGCUACAGACUGGACACUCGAUGCUGGUCGGGAUAAAUUCUUACAAGUGGGAUAUGGGCUGCAAGGUUGUAACCGACAAUUGGAUCCCUGUUACAGGUGGCGAGGGCAUGGUAUAGGGUAUACAGGAACCUUCCACAGAAAUAAAGAAAUUUGAAAGGUUCUAUAUAUAAAUAUAACAAACUCGGACGAUACUAGCUGGGUACUAGGAAAAAUGUCAGAUUUUACGAACACGGAACAGAUAGGGGAGGACUCAUACUAAUAAAGAAGGAAAAACCCGAGACUUCCAAGGUAGUUGGGACUAAUAAAGAGUUAAUAGGGGAAGGUUUGGUUGUCCAGACUGUAAAGAUACCUGGGACUGCCCAACCUACUACAGUGUUUUCUAAUAAGUCGACAGAGUUAUCCUUUCCCACACUGCUUCCAAGCAUUGUGAAUAAAGAAAGGGGUUGUACCCGAGAGUAGUAUGUGGAAAGUUAUAAAUGCUAGUUUCCAGGUACUAAAUCAAACUAAUUCUGAGAUAACUGAAGGGUGCUGGCUAUGUGUAAGUGUUAAGCCCCCAUAUUAUGAAGCUAUAGGAGAUAUGGGGAGGUCUGAAUAUUCAAACGAGUCAAAUCCUUCCAAGUGCAGUUGGGGUCAGGAAAUCGGGAUAACUUUGACUCAAGUUACGGGAAAAGGUAGAUGUAUCGGCACAGUUCCAAGAGAUAAAAAUGAUAUGUGCCAUGCCACUGAAAAAAAAAAAAAAAA